UAGGGAAUCUUCGGCAAUGGACGAAAGUCUGACCGAGCAACGCCGCGUGAGUGAAGAAGGUUUUCGGAUCGUAAAACUCUGUUGUUAGAGAAGAACAAGGACGUUAGUAACUGAACGUCCCCUGACGGUAUCUAACCAGAAAGCCACGGCUAACUACGUGCCAGCAGCCGCGGUAAUACGUAGGUGGCAAGCGUUGUCCGGAUUUAUUGGGCGUAAAGCGAGCGCAGGCGGUUUCUUAAGUCUGAUGUGAAAGCCCCCGGCUCAACCGAGGAGGGUCAUUGGAAACUGGUAGACUUGAGUGCAGAAGAGGAGAGUGGAAUUCCAUGUGUAGCGGUGAAAUGCGUAGAUAUAUGGAGGAACACCAGUGGCGAAGGCGGCUCUCUGGUCUGUAACUGACGCUGAGGCUCGAAAGCGUGGGGAGCAAACAGG
rnacentral:rRNA from 1 species